UACGGGGGGAGCAAGCGUUGUUCGGAUUUACUGGGCGUAAAGGGCGCGUAGGCGGUCAGCACAAGUCAGUUGUGAAAUCUCCGGGCUUAACUCGGAAAGGUCAACUGAUACUGUGCGACUAGAGUGCAGAAGGGGCAACUGGAAUUCUCGGUGUAGCGGUGAAAUGCGUAGAUAUCGAGAGGAACACCUGCGGCGAAGGCGGGUUGCUGGGCCGACACGUGACGCUGAUGCGCGAAAGCCAGGGAGCGAACGGG
rnacentral:rRNA from 1 species